UUUAAAAUGGGUAAACUUCAUAUACCACUGCCGUACUUUCGCACUGUCUCACUUUAGUGUCAUGUGGUUUAAAGUAUAUCAAGUUAGCGUCUUGUGGUUUCAUUUUUAUCUUUUCGUCAAAUUUUUUGUUAAUGUAUCGUUAAAUUAUAUAAAAAAAAAAUUCAAAUAUUCCAACUAGGUUUAUCGAAUAUUCACUUUAGUACCCUUAGUACCCUUUAGUUUUAACUUUGUCGCUGAUUUAAUUAGUUUUAACUUUGUCGCUGAUUUAACGAAAAAAAUUAGUGGAAUCGAUGAUAAAAAAAAUAAAAAUGAAACCACGGGCACUAAAUUGAUACUAAGGUUUUAAGUGUCCGUCGGAACGGACCGUAUCCACCGUGCUGUACCGUGCCUAUAAGAUACCGGCACAGACCCUGUGCCAAUGGCGUAACUCAAAAUCCUCUAUUCUUUAAAUUAGUAAGUAAUUUUCUUAAUAAAGUUCAAAAGAUGUGAUAAAAAGACAUAAUAAAUAGUUAGAAUAUUUAGUUGCUAAAGAAAAUAAAUAAUUCAUGCUAUUAUGUAUCGGCACAC
rnacentral:lncRNA from 1 species